AGUUUUGUGAUAUGGCCUCAUCCGCCCCAAAUUGUGGUGUAUGUGACCUCCGACACAUUAACAAACCAUCAAUAAUCUGGUGUACGGAAUGUGACGAAGGGCUUUGUCAAGAUUGUCAGGAACACCAUAGUUUAUCCAAGGGAACCAGAAACCAUAACACCAUAACAAUAAAAGAAUAUAAAACAUUACCAAGUGAAGUACUUAAAAUCACUCAAUACUGUAGCACACACAAUGACAAAUUUAUAAUGUAUUGCGGGACACACGAACGUCCCUGCUGCAGAAAAUGUAUAGUUGAAACUCAUAAAGAAUGCCUGGAUAUCGAUAAUUUAGAAGACGUCAUUCAAAAUGUUAAAACCUCAAAUGCCUUCCACGAUAUUGAAGAAACAUUGGUUGAAGUAGCAGAAAAUUUAAAGAAAAUCAGUCAACAUCAGCAGAAGAAUCUGUUGAAUUUGAAAGAAAAAAGAAAACAAAUUCAAAAGAGAAUUCUAAAGACCCGUACAACAAUCAACAACCAUCUGGACAAAUUACAAGGAGAUUUGAUAAAACAACUUAAUUCUAUUGAAGAAACCCAAAACUCGAAAAUUUGUCAGUUGUUGUCAUCACUUGAACAGAGAGAAAAAGAAAUAACCAAAUACCAGCAAAACCUUGCAAGCAUUAAACAACACGCCUCAGACCUUCAGAUUUUUCUUUCACUUAAGCAAAUCGAACAAGACAUUAAUAUAAAUGAUAAAUUCCUACAAUCCGUUGUGGAAGGUGAGCAAUUGAAGCAAUGUCAUCUAGAAUAUAGAACCAACAUUGCUAUUCAAGAUAUCAUGUCCAAUAUCAAAAGUUUUGGAGAAGUACAGCUUGAAACUAAACCAUGUGACAUCGUUCUUAGCAGGAAGAAGACUAAACAAGCACAGAUAAUGGUACCAAACGUUCAAACAAGAUCCAUUGAGAAUAUAAAGCUUGCGUUGCACAAAACAGCAGUAGAAACUAAAGGAAGACGGGUCUACGGGUGUUGCCUGAUAUCAGAUGGUAGAAUGGCUUUUACUUACUACCUUGAUUAUGCAGUUAGAGUUUUCAGUGAUAAAGGACCAAAAGACUUUGAGGUGAAGAUGCCGUGUAAUGUAUACGAUAUACUGUAUAUUAGUAAGGAUGAUACAUUAGCCGUAACAUCUGGUAGUUCAAGUCAGCAUUGUAUUUUUAUUAUAAACGUGGAAAGAAAACAAAUCACGAGAACAAUUUCACUAGAUUCGGAAAUUUAUGGUAUAGCACUUACAGAAAAUGAAUUAAUAUAUUCGGGUCGUAGUAAAGGAAUACGAAUGAUUAAUCUUUUAGACGUGUCAAUUACUCAAAUAGU
rnacentral:lncRNA from 1 species